AUGAACGCUGGCGGUAUGCUUCACCCCUGCAAGUCGCACGGACUCUUCGGAGUUAGUGGCGGACGGGUGAGUAACGCGUGAGAAUCUGGCUUUGGGUUCGGGACAACCACUGGAAACGGUGGCUAAUACCGGAUGUGCCGAGAGGUAAAAGAGAAAUUGCCUGAAGAUGAGCUCGCGUCUGAUUAGCUAGUUGGUGAGGUAAAGGCUCACCAAGGCAGCGAUCAGUAGCUGGUCUGAGAGGAUGACCAGCCACACUGGGACUGAGACACAGCCCAGACUCCUACGGGAGGCAGCAGUGGGGAAUUUUCCGCAAUGGGCGAAAGCCUGACGGAGCAAUACCGCGUGAGGGAAGAAGGCUCUUGGGUUGUAAACCUCUUUUCUUAGGGAAGAACAAAAUGACGGUACCUAAGGAAUCAGCAUCGGCUAACUCCGUG
rnacentral:rRNA from 1 species